ACUCCCUCCCAGCUGCAUUAAUGACUUGUGACUCUUCACUUCCAGUGCCUGAAGACAUACACAGGACACAAAAAUGAGAAGUACUGCAUAUUUGCCAAUUUCUCUGUUACUGGUGGAAAGUGGAUCGUGUCUGGGUCAGAAGACAACCUGGUUUAUAUUUGGAACCUUCAGACAAAAGAGAUUGUACAGAAAUUACAAGGACACACAGAUGUUGUCAUCUCGACAGCCUGUCACCCAACAGAAAACAUCAUCGCGUCAGCGGCACUAGAAAACGACAAAACAAUUAAACUGUGGAAGAGUGACUGUUAAACGUUCCAGGAUUGCUUUAGAGACUGUCAGGAAA